rnacentral:rRNA from 1 species
GAUGAACGCUAGCGGCAGGCUUAACACAUGCAAGUCGAGGGGUAGGUUACUUCGGUAAUUGAGACCGGCGCACGGGUGCGUAACGCGUAUACAAUCUACCUUUUACAGAGGGAUAGCCCAGAGAAAUUUGGAUUAAUACCUCAUAGUAUUUUUGAAUCGCAUGAUUUGAUUAUUAAAGUUCCAACGGUAAAAGAUGAGUAUGCGUCCCAUUAGCUAGAUGGUAAGGUAACGGCUUACCAUGGCAAUGAUGGGUAGGGGUCCUGAGAGGGAGAUCCCCCCACACUGGAACUGAGACACGGUCCAGACUCCUACGGGAGGCAGCAGUGGGGAAUAUUGGACAAUGGGCGAAAGCCUGAUCCAGCCAUGCCGCGUGUGUGAAGAAGGUCUUCGGAUUGUAAAGCACUUUAAGUUGGGAGGAAGGGUAAGUAACCUAAUACGUUGUCUACUUUGUACGUUACCGACAGAAUAAGCACCGGCUAACUUCGUGCCAGCAGCCA